CACGAAACGUUUGUUCGCCACCACAGCAACCUAACUAAAUGUAUUUAUUGUAUUUUAUGAUUGUAUUUUUAUGAUUGAUAAUAAAAACAAUAAAUAUUUGCGUUGUUUUGUCAUCAAUCAUAAAAAUGCAAUAAAUACAAUAUAUUUAGUUAGGUUGCUGUGGUGGCGAACAAACGUUUCGUG